rnacentral:rRNA from 1 species
GAGUUUGAUCUUGGCUCAGGACGAACGCUGGCGGCGUGCUUAACACAUGCAAGUGGAGCGACGAACCAGGGCUUCGGCCUGGGGCAGAGCCGCGAACGGGUGAGUAACACGUGGGUAACGUGCCCCCGAUGGACCGGGACAACCCCGGGGAAACCCGGGCUAAUACCGGAUGUGCUCCCGCCACACCGAGUGGCGGUGGAAAGGAGCUUCGGCCUCCGCAUCGGGAUCGGCCCGCGGCCCAUUAGCUUGUUAGGUGAGGUAACGGCUCACCAAGGCCGCGAUGGGUAGCU